rnacentral:lncRNA from 1 species
ACCAGGAUAACCUCCAGCAGGGGGGUACCCUCCUAGAAAUAGAAAGAUGUUCUGUACAAGCUAUGAAGGAGUCCUUCGUGAAAGGAUGGGUAUAUAAUACAGGGAUGCACCAGAUAUUCAAGCUGGAGAUGAUCUUACUAUCAACCAUGCCAAGAAAACAUAUUUCUCUUCCUAUCAGCAAAUCCAAAAAUAAAAAUUUCCUGUGUAGAUCUAACAUAAAACUUGCUGAUAUAUAGAUUUCAGAGAACGUGCGGUGUCGCACAUUGGGAUAAACUUCAAUUUGCGGUAUCUCGACUUGCAAAACGCUUAUUGGAACUCCCGGAGCAUUUAAGGCUUAUUAAUCUAUCUUUUAUUCAAUUUAAGAAAGGAAUAUUAGCAUACUACUUGACUGCAUUACGAUCCUGCUACAACGUUGACGAUCCACGAACUUGGAAGACUGUCUGUGUCAAAUGUAACAAAAGCAGAAGUCUCAUCCNNNNNNNNNNNNNNNNNNNNGUGGUCGCCGCAGUCGGUGGAGCUCAUCAACCGAGUGGAACGUGUUCAACGCCGAGCUUCAAAGUUUAUUCUAGGCCUCCCAUUCAUGUGUGACGUAUCCUAUAAAGACAGACUCAUUUUAUCUCCCCUCUAUAAAGACAGACUCAUUUCGACAGAACUUCUUCCCCUCUCAUUUUGGCAUGAAUAUUUAGACUUAAUGUUUUUCUUCAAAGCUAUUACUGGCAUUGUAUCGAUAUCUCAAAAUUCCUUACCUGAACGUAUUGCUCCUGUAAGGGUCACAAGAUCAUCUGCUAAUGUCAACGCAAUCUCAUUCCGUCAACGAAAACAUAAAACAACAACUUAUAAUCGAUCAUUCUUUCUUCGUACAACUAGAACUUGGAACUCUCUCCCGGAGCAUUUAAGGCUUAUUAAUCUAUCUUUUAUUCAAUUUAAGAAAGGAAUAUUAGCAUACUACUUGACUGCAUUACGAUCCUGCUACAACGUUGACGAUCCACGAACUUGGAAGACUGUCUGUGUCAAAUGUAACAAAAGCAGAAGUCUCAUCCGACCAUUAACUUGCUGUUACUAGAGGGGCGUUUGCACAUUGCGAUUUGUCCUGUGCGAUUCGGAUUUUGGUGUAUAAUUCAUUUGAUGCCUCAAUUCCAAAAAUCUGAAUUGAAGCGAAACUUUAAUUGCACAAUUGACGCGUGCCUACUCGAUUGGAUUCGCCAAAAUACGAGUCGUACACGGCGGAUCGCGGUGUGUAAACGUACCUUAAGUAAACUAAGUAUAAUUACUUAGGUGAUUAUUGAAAAUUUUCCAAGCUGAUUCGUUGCCAUUGAAGUGAUUAUAACGUGAUAAUCACCUAAGUUUUGACUAUUAAAUGACGAAGAAAUGUGUAUUUUUAUUUUUUUCCCAAAUAAUCACCUAUGAAAUUAUACUAAAACAAUUAUUCGCCUUAGGCUCGGUGGUUAUUGUUAAAUGAAAACUUCGACUUUGUCUCUGUCCCUACUUACCGAUAAUCACCUAGCCUUCGGCAAUAAAUUGUUAAUUAUUUCUGUUUUCUAUAUUUAUAUUGAUAUUUUGUAAAGGGCCCACUGUAAUUGGUGUUAAGCUGUUGUGGUGUCCCAGCUUCUUUAAUGCAUUCAUUGUAUAAUGUUUGGAAGCGAAGCACAAUAAAUAAAUAAAUAAAUAAAUAAAAUAAAAA